UACGGGGGGGGCAAGCGUUGUUCGGAAUUACUGGGCGUAAAGGGCGCGUAGGCGGCCUGCUAAGUCGGACGUGAAAUCCCUCGGCUCAACCGGGGAACUGCGUCCGAUACUGGUGGGCUCGAAUCCGGGAGAGGGAUGUGGAAUUCCAGGUGUAGCGGUGAAAUGCGUAGAUAUCUGGAGAAACACCGGUGGCGAAGGCGGCAUCCUGGACCGGUAUUGACGCUGAUGCGCGAAAGCCAGGGGAGCAAACGGG
rnacentral:rRNA from 1 species